UUUUGCUCUGUAUGUGAGGGACUCUGUGCUGUUUUGUUAGUUCUCAGGAGGUAGUUAUGAAGAAGGCGAAUGAGGAAGCGCUCCUGCUGGGGGACAUAAAGCUGAUAUUUUGUUGCCAGGAGAAAUGUGUGGUUUAUUGAGCUGGUGUAUUAGAUUUCCUGCUGCAUGAGCAAGAAGAUUAUGGUGGCUUACGACUAAGUGUACUUUUGGGAGGCAUUUUGUAUUUUCUCUAUAAAUAGUCUUUCUAAAACACAAUUUUGAAACUAUUAAUGUUUAUAUCACAUUAUACAUCUCUCUAAGUUUACUGUCCUGAGUAUACAGUAUGGUUGCAAGAGGAAAUCUUUUUGUCUAAGAAACGUGUUCAGAAUUGUCAUUGUUAAAAGGCUACUAAAAGGCAGGUUUGUUAUAUUUAUCUUCUUAUCUGUAUGGUAUUUUUGGCUUAUUACACAAUGUCGUUCCUGUUUUCAACAACAGUAAAAUUGCAUCUUUUAAGGAGUUAAGCACUUCAAUAGAAAUUGCAAGUGUGUGAGCAUCCUGGCUAUUCUGUUUGUGUCAGAAA